UAUAUAUAUAUAUAUAUUUUUUUUUUUUUAAAAGGAAUAAAUUUCCACCAAAAAAAUUCAGAAUUUUUUCCGAACAAACUUCUGAUCUUAAAAGGUAGAAUUUAUUUUUUUGGCAAGUUUUCACCUUUUCAAACUCAACAUUUCUGAGUUUUUGUCUAAGAAAAAUUUAGAUGUUUUCUUGUUUUUUCUAGAACAUUUCUGAGAUUAAUCUGACAUUUUCUGUUUUUCUUUUUUUUUCUUAUUAGCAAAUUUUCGCCUUUUGAAACUCAACAUUUCUAAGGUUUUGUUCAGCAAAAUUUAAACUUUGUCUUCUUUCUAGAAAAUGUGUGUUUUUGGCAGAAACGAUCUGGAUCUUUACUAACUAUUAUACGACGGAAAAACUUGAUCAAAAAUUACAUUCUAAACAUUUUUCCAGUCACAAUAAGAAUCUCCAUAAACAGAUUUGCCAGCAAGGAUAUAAAAAUCGUUCGUUACUUUUAUUAUAUUCUGUUUGCAGAAGGAAACUCAGCUGCAGUUUUGAGAGCUAAAAUAAAUAAAAUAACUCUGGAAAACAACACCUGCAUGUUUGUUGUGUUUGUUUGCUGCAGGGCUGAAAGAGACGUAAAUAAACCAGGCUGCAGUUUCUGUUUGUUGCUGAAAUUUUGGGUUUUUAUUGCUGGCACUUAAAGUUUUUGACUCCCAAACUGAGUUAGUGUUUGUUUUUACUGAAACUUUUCACUGCACUGUUGUUGCUUUUUGAUUAUGUGUUUGCUGCAAAUUACUGAAUCAAACUGCUAGAAGAUAAACUGGACUUUAAAUGGUUGGUUAACUUUAGAAAAUGUUUUCAGAUUUUGCUUCUGGAUCAUCCAAAGAAGUUCAUCAGAGACACACAGAAGUAUAAACCCUUCAGGCGGAUCGCCAAGAGUAGCCGGCCGUCGCUCAAAGUCCUCUGCAGAGAAGUCCUGAACGUAAAAGUCCAGCAGGGCGAACACUCGUCUGUGCAGGACGCUCAGGCCACCAUGAGGCUUUACACACUGGUGAAGAAACAGUGGGAAGCCGAGAUCAGCAGCAGGAAGAGAAACAAAGAGUCAGAGGAGAAAAAGAAGAGGAAGCCGAGGUAGAGAGGAGGAUGGAGGAGGACGGAGGAGAGAGGAGGAGGACGGAGGAGGACGGAGGAGAGAGGAGGAGAGAGGAGGAGGACGGAGUGUCUCCGGAUCGGAGAGGACAGGACUCGGUCUGGACUCGUUUUCAGCUGCGGCCUUUGUAACAGAACCACUCUGUGCCUCGCAGGCAGAAACAAACAUUAUGGAUGGAAUAUGUUUAUUAAAAUGUGUUUAUAUGCAGGUGCAGCUUUUAUGUUCCACAGCAACAUCUGUACGUUGUCUCAUAUGACCUUUGACCUUGUCAGAUCAUUACAGAUUAAAUCUGUUCUGCAGGUUUUGUUUAAUAAAAUGUCUCAGAUGUUU